rnacentral:rRNA from 1 species
UACAGAGGUGGCAAGCGUUGUUCGGAAUUACUGGGCGUAAAGGGCGCGUAGGCGGCCAUCUAAGUCAGACGUGAAAUCCCCCGGCUUAACCUGGGAACUGCGUCUGAUACUGGACGGCUUAAGUAUGGGAGAGGGAUGUAGAAUUCCAGGUGUAGCGGUGAAAUGCGUAGAUAUCUGGAGGAAUACCGGUGGCGAAGGCGGCAUCCUGGACCAUUACUGACGCUGAGGCGCGAAAGCUAGGGGAGCAAACGGG